rnacentral:lncRNA from 1 species
GGAACCCGACUGUACAUUCCAGUAAUUGGUGUACAUCUAGAUCCCGAGUACUAUCCCCAUCCAGAAAGAUUUCACCCUGAAAGAUUCUCUCCAGAAAACAAAGCCGCACGACCGGACAUUGCUUGGAUGCCAUUUGGUGAAGGGCCUAGGCAAUGAUUAGGACUGAGAUUUGGAAUGCUGCAGAUCAAAGUUGCCUUAGCGUCUCUCUUGCAUAAAUUCAGAUUCACCUUAAGUAAAGCUAUGAAGCCUCCAUUCAUAGCUGACGCCGGUACCCUCGUGUACAUGUUCAAGCAGGAUGUGCUUUUAGACGCUACUAGAGUAAACUAGAAUAACCAUGUUUAAGUGUUAAGGAUAUUGAGGUCAACAUGUUAUUUCAUCUAGAGGUGUACGCUUCGAAUCUUUUUAGUGAUUCGUACCACACAGAUUCGUAUCAAGCAAAGAUUCGUACCAAGUUUUCGUUCAUUUUGUAUCGAUAGAAUCGAUCGAAGGCGCCAUCAUUCGUAUUAGAUCACAUUAGGUAUCGGUACCCAUAUACCGAUAUGCCGAUAUGCGAUAUGAUAUAUGAUGAUACGAAAUGUACGAAUCUCUCUUUUUAGGGAUUCAUACCAUUCGAAUCACUUGAAGGAUUCGUAUCAAUGGUCAUACGAAUCCUACCCAUCUCCAAUUUCAUCCUGUUGGUGAAGAUAAUUUAAAAUAAAUUGUAGACAUUUUGUUAA